GGCCAGAUAGCUCAGUUGGUAGAGCAAAGGACUGAAAAUCCUUGUGUCCCUGGUUCGAUUCCAGGUCUGGCCACCA
rnacentral:tRNA from 2 species